rnacentral:rRNA from 1 species
GACGAACGCUGGCGGCGUGCUCAACACAUGCAAGUCGAGCGGUAAGGCCCUUUCGGGGGUACACGAGCGGCGAACGGGUGAGUAACACGUGGGUGACCUGCCCUCAGCUCUGGGAUAAGCCUGGGAAACCGGGUCUAAUACCGGAUAUGACUCCAUGACGCAUGUUGUGGGGUGGAAAGCCUUGUGCGGCUGAGGAUGGGCCCGCGGCCUAUCAGCUUGUUGGUGGGGUGANGGCCUACCAAGGCGACGACGGGUAGCCGGCCUGAGAGGCGACCGGCCACACUGGGACUGAGACACGGCCCAGACUCCUACGGGAGGCAGCAGUGGGGAAUCUUGCGCAAUGGGCGAAAGCCUGACGCAGCGACGCCGCGUGAGGGAUGACGGCCU